rnacentral:SRP_RNA from 1 species
GCCGGUUGUGGUAGUGUGCACCUGUAAUCCCAGCAACUUGGGAGGCUGAGGCAGGAGAAUCGCUUGAACCUGGGAGGCAGAGGUUGCAGUGAGCCGAGAUCAUGCCAUUGCACUCCAGCCUGAGUGACAGAGUGAAACUCUGUCUCGAAAAAAAAAAUUAAUAAGUAAAAUAAGAUAGAAAGUGACAAUGAAGUUUAUUAUAUUAAUAUUCUUUAAAAGCAACUUUUUUUUUUUUGAGACAGAGUCUCACUCUGUCACCCAGGCUGGAGUGCAGUGGCACGAUCUCAGCUCACUGCAAACUCCGCUUCCCAGGUUAAAGCGAUUCUCCUGCCUCAG